UACGAAGGGUGCAAGCGUUACUCGGAAUUACUGGGCGUAAAGGGUGCGUAGGCGGCGCGGUAAGUCGGGUGUGAAAUCUCGGAGCUUAACUCCGAAACUGCAUUCGAUACUGCCGUGCUUGAGGACUGGAGAGGAGACUGGAAUUUACGGUGUAGCGGUGAAAUGCGUAGAGAUCAUGAGGAAGACCAGUGGCGAAGGCGGGUCUCUGGACAGUUCCUGACACUGAGGCACGAAGGCCAGGGGAGCAAACGGG
rnacentral:rRNA from 1 species